ensembl:snRNA U6 U6 spliceosomal RNA
GUGCUCGUUUUAGCAGCACAUAUACUAAAAUUGGAAUGAUACAGAGAUUAGCAUGGCUUCUGUGCAAGGAAGACAUGCAAAUCUGUGAAGCAUGCUAUAUUUUA